rnacentral:tRNA from 1 species
GCCCCCAUCGUCUAGUGGCCCAGGAUACCGGCCUUUCAAGCCGGAGACACGGAUUCGAAUUCCGUUGGGGGCA